rnacentral:lncRNA from 1 species
GGAGGAGCUGCUACUCAAGAAAGAGGAAGAGGCGGGCUUUUCCGACCCCCACGCCCCUGGGAUGGUAAAGCUGCAGCCCACCUCGUUCUGGGGCAGAGUCUCCUUGCCUGCCUGCUUGCAUCGCUCACCAGCGUCCUAUCCUAACACCUCUGUUUCGUGCCCAUCACUUUGUCUCUCGCUGAAUUCCUUCUGCGUGGAGACAUAGAGAACCUCAACCUCAGUGAGUCCAGACGCAGGAGGAGAGCGUUUCCCAGACUCCUUGCCCCUGAGUGAGGAUACGUGCCUGGUUCUGGCCAAGGGGCUGUGGCUGAUACAGCAGGUGUCACUCUGAGUCAAAGCAAAGGAUGUGCAGACAUGAAGUCUCCACGCUCUCUCUUCUUCACCCCUUGUCUCAAGGUGUCAGAGGCACCAGCUUAUGAGGGAUGUAUGAUUGUCAGCACCUCCACUUUACAGAAGAGGACACCUGGGUAUGAUGAUAAGCUGCCCAAGGUCCCAUAUCUGGUGCUUCAUAAUCCUGGCAAAGCCACUAAGCUGAGCAGAGCUGCAGAAAUUCCCUGGCUUUCCUACUGGAAGAUGUCGAUCAAUGAGGGCGCUCGCGGCCUUUGAUGUUAGGCAUCCACGCCCGCUUCUGUAAAGACUUUCGGCUCCACAAGAGAACGGGAAGUCACUGUGAAGAAAGAGGCAGGCGAUGUAACCGGAAAAGCGCAGGUUUGAUGUCAAACAGACCUGCGUGGUUCCACCGCUUUCCGACUGUGUGACACCUCCCCCCACCCCCACCGGCCCAGUUGCUCUUUGAACCCAAGUCUUGGAAAAUGGAACCAAUAAUACCUGUUCUUCAAGACUGUUUCUGCUGGAAGCUCCAAGAUUCAUCUGAAGGCGUGAUCACAUCCUCAAUGUUGAGUGGACUAUGAACCGGCUGCCAGAGACAGGGUUCCAAGCCGGGCCAGGCCCAUCCCAAUGCCCACCCGAAAAGAAGGGACAGAGGAAAGAAAGAAACAAAAUCCUGGGGCUCCAUUGGCUUUCUUUUUGACUCCAGCUGAAGUUGCUGCAUAGUGUGGCCUUGCCAGUCCUCGCCUUGAAAAGGCUGGAAGCGACUGACGUGAUGGAUCAUCUAAUCCCACAGCCUCAUUUUGCAGAGGACCCCGAGCCUCGACUUGGCCAAGGUCACACAGCUGGGCCACACCCAUGGCGUAUGGUUUUCAUAUGGAAUUGGAGCUGCAGUUGCCGGCCUGUGCCACAGCCACAGCAAGGUAGGAUCUGAGCCAAGUCUUUGACCUACACCACAUCUCACGGCAAUUCCAGAUCCCUGGACCCACUGAGUGAGGUAAGGGAUUGAACACGCACCCUUAUGGAUACUAGUUGGAUCACAACGGAACUCCCUGAAAAAUCAAGGUCUUUAAAGCAAUUCAUCAACCCCACCAACAUCUUGGCAUAAGAAAAUUGAUUCUGUAAGUCAAAAGAACUUAUAACAUGGUAUAUUGGGAGGAUGGCAGGGCUUGGUAAGUGGUAGCAACGCAGCUGGUAGAUUUUUCUUUGUUGUGUCCUUGUCCUUACACUCUUUUUAGCCACAUUUUCAUUCAGGAUUCUUGGGUUGGAAGCAACAGAAAUGGACUCUUUUGGCCUUAAGCAAAAAGAAAAUUUGUUGAAAGGGCAUGGAGGAGUUCAUAGGAUUGACUAGAAGUUUGGAGAAGUAGGCUCAGGAGUCAAGGCAUUUAUGGAGGAGGGUAGGGUAGAGAGGUGAUAAAAAUAAUGCAACGGUCUUAUUUGGAAAUUGUACUGGCAUGUAAGAGUUUCAUCUUUCCUCCUCCCUUCCUCUCUCUCUCUUUCUGCCACUUCAUUCGAGAUUCCAAUUUCAGCGAAGGAGCAUCCAAUUGGCCUGUCUUGGUCAGAUUCCCACCACCCCCAUGGUUAGGGGAACACAGCAUAUUCGAAAUGGCAUUCCCACGAGGUACAUUCCAUGGAAAAGUAAUACCACAAAGAAAAUACGGACACAGUUAUCAAAGGAAGAUAAAACAGGUGCUGGGUAGCCAACAAUAGCCUAUUUCCACUAUAUCCUUUAAAAAAAAUCCCAGUAACUCUUCUAUGAUUACCGAUGUUUCAGGAGAGAAAUUUAACGAUGGAAGAGUGUAUACAUAGUGAUGAAAAGAAUGGGAGGAUUUAUAAGAUACAAGUCAUUUUCUUUGAGUUGUGGGACAAUGGUUGGGUCCAUUUUUCUUCUGUUGUUUUUUCCUAUAGAGCACAUUUAUAACCUUUUAAAAGUAAACUAUGUUUUCUACUUUAAGAUGAGUGAAAUGAGGGGGGAGUGUCCUUUUGACUGGGGACAUAGUCACUAGUUACUCUAUGUUAAUAACAGAAGCAUACAUUCCUCUCGAGGGGCAACAGUGUUCUUAUACAUUAAACUCUCAACAGAAACCAAAAGAACCACCACCAAAAAAAUCCCACCCAGUUUGGAAAGGACUUGUGCUUGUGGGUCGGGGGCAGAAGGAAGCAAUUUCCCUCCAUUUUCUGCCUGAGCAGGCCUUUUGCACUUUGAUAUUCGUUUCACUAAUAAGGUGUUUCAUUAUUUCUCCCACAAAAAGAGCUGGUGCUGUUAUGAGAUGCUGUUGAAGACUCUGGUUUGCCCAGAUGUGCCGCAGUGAAAACAGCCUUUCUCUGACGUGCGUGACUUGUGAGGAUGAUGGGACCUGUGGGAAGAGGGGAUCCUUUUUCAGAGUUUGGAAAGAGAGGCAAAAUAACGCCAUCUGCCCUGCAUGGCUGACAGAAACACGUUCUUCCCUAAUCAGUGGGUCACUCACUUCCGCACUAUGUUGCAGGGAAGCAUCAUCUGAUUCCAAGCCUAAGGCUGGGUCAUCCGCGGCACUGACUUCUCCCGACCCUUCUCCGAGCUUCCUGUGCCAGUUUUCAUCAUCAAAUUUCUCUGCUCCCUUGGACCAGCGGAAAAGAAGUUAUGAGCUCUCUCCAUCAUUCGCCGGUCUCUUCGGCCCUUCCUCCUUUGAAGUUUUCUUAUUCGGGGUCUUUUUUCGCUUCUUCUCCAUGUUUCAUCCUCUCUCACUGUAACCUUUUUAUCUCUGGAGAGUUCUCUCUGUGCCUCUGGGCCCUUCUCUUUCUAGUUGGUUCUCAGAACCCAUUCUGGGAUUCUAUUUCAGUCCAUCCGUCUCUCCAACAGACCACGGGUGAAACCAGGGCCGGUAAUCAGUCCCAGCUGCUGGAGGCGUCCGCUCUGGGUCGGCCCCACGUUUGUGGGCUGAUGUUUUGCUUCCCAUAAUGCUCUGGGAGUACUGCUGCUCAGAGCUUGGCUUGUGCUUUUUCUUCUCCUGCCAAGGGGCCCUGCUUCCAAAACCCAGAUUAGAAAACAUGGGACGUUAAAAAAAAAAAAAAAAAAA